rnacentral:rRNA from 1 species
AGUGAACGCUGGCGGUAGGCCUAACACAUGCCAGUCGAACGGCAGCACAGUAAGAGCUUGCUCUUACGGGUGGCGAGUGGCGGACGGGUGAGGAAUACAUCGGAAUCUACUUUUUCGUGGGGGAUAACGUAGGGAAACUUCCGCUAAUACAGCAUACGUCCUACGGGUGAAAGCAGGGGAUCUUCGGACCUUGCGCGAUUGAAUGAGCCGAUGUCGGAUUAGCUAGUUGGCGGGGUAAAGGCCCACCAAGGCGACGAUCCGUAGCUGGUCUGAGAGGAUGAUCAGACAGACUGGAAGUGAGACACGGUCCAGACUCCUACGGGAGGACGCAGUGGGGAAUAUUGGGCAAUGGGGGCAAGCCUGAUCCAGCCAUACCGCGUGGGUGAAGAAGGCGUUCGGGUUGGAAAGCCCUUUUGUUGGGAAAGAAAAGCAGCAGGUUAAUACCCCGCUGUUCUGACGGUACCCAAAGAAUAAGCACCGGCUAACUUCGUG